rnacentral:rRNA from 1 species
CUAAGGCGAGGCCGACAGGCGUAGUCGAUGGAUGACGGGUUGAUAUUCCCGUACCCGUGUGCGUGCGACAAGUGAUGAAUCUUAUGGUACUAACCGCCCGCCUACGUGCACUGGUCUUUUUGGUUGGUGUGUGUGGGUGCGUGGGAUCUUCGUGGGUAGUAGUCAAGUGAUGGGGUGACGCAGAGUGGUAGCUAGGCUUCCUUAUUGGAUUGGAGUGCAAGCGUGUGGCCUGUGGGGUUGGGAAAUCCGCCCCACAUAUAAAGGUGAGGCGUGAUGCGGACACCAUGUUGUGGUGGUAGUUAGUGUGCCUGUGCUGUCUAGAAAAGCCUCUAGCGAGUGCGUGCAUGGCCCGUACCGGAAACCGACACAGGUGGUCAGGUAGAGAAUACUAAGGCGUUCGGGUGAACUGUGGUUAAGGAACUCGGCAAAAUGCCCCCGUAACUUCGGGAGAAGGGGGACCAUUACUAGUUGCUGACAGCAUGAUGGCUGGUGGUGGUCGCAGAGGAGAGAGGGAAGCGACUGUUUAUUAAAAACACAGGUCCGUGCGAAAACGUGGAAGUUGAGGUAUACGGACUGACGCCUGCCCGGUGCUGGAAGGUUAAGAGGACCCGUGAGCAUACCUAUGGUGUGCGAGGCGGAGAAUUGAAGCCCCAGUAAACGGCGGUGGUAACUAUAACCAUCCUAAGGUAGCGAAAUUCCUUGUCGGGUAAGUUCCGACCUGCACGAAUGGCGUAACGACUUCCCUGCUGUCUCAACCACAGGCCCGGUGAAAUUGCAGUACGAGUAAAGAUGCUCGUUUCGCGCGGCAGGACGAAAAGACCCCGGGACCUUUACUAUAGCUUGGUAUUGGUGUUUGGUCAUGCUUGUGUAGGAUAGGUGGGAGACUGUGAAGCCGCAACGCUAGUUGUGGUGGAGUCGCAGGUGAAAUACCACUCUGGUGUGAUUGGGUACCUGAACCUUGGCCCGUGAUCCGGGUUGGGGACAGUGCCUGGUGGGUAGUUUAACUGGGGCGGUUGCCUCCUAAAUGGUAACGGAGGCGCCCAAAGGUUUCCUCAGUCUGGUUGGCAAUCAGAUGGUGAGUGUAAGUGUAUAAGGGAGCUUGACUGUGACACUGACGGGUGGAGCAGGUGCGAAAGCAGGGACUAGUGAUCCGGCACCGACGUGUGGUUGUGGUGUCGCUCAACGGAUAAAAGGUACCCCGGGGAUAACAGGCUGAUCUUCCCCAAGAGUUCAUAUCGACGGGAUGGUUUGGCACCUCGAUGUCGGCUCGUCGCAUCCUGGGGCUGGAGUAGGUCCCA